GUGGCUAUUCAGUCGUGGGGGUGAGAGGUUACUAUCGCUCCUUGUUGAAGUGACUACGUCUUUUGGCGAGCUACGGAUGCUAACAAAAAAUGAGACGUCACUGUUGUCAUUCUUUGGUAGUACCUCACGCAAGAAGUCUGCUCUCCAACAACAGACAAUUCAUCAUCAACAGCUCAGUGAAGUACAACCAUUGAGUCUUCUAACCACUCUGCUGUCGCUAUUGAAGAAAUACCUGCUCACAAGCUAUCAAACAAUUGCAACUGUUGACUUUACCGAGUUUCUAUAUUUUGCAAAUAAUUCUGUUCUGUAAAUCAAAAUGUGCCCUAACAAGGGACCGAGACAUACAUAAAUAUGAGACAAGAGGCAGAGACAGCUACUGAACUGACUGGUGUUCAUUUAAUCAACAGAUUGCCAGAUUCCACCAAAAGUGCCCUAACGCCCAGAGUGUUAAGAGUUUGUCUCAAAGCAUGAGACGUUUUUUAGUCUCAAAGCAUUUUAUAAUUACGGCGAAUUUAUGGCACACAAGAAGGGACCGAUCUUUUACAAGACUGACCCCGACAAUGGAAAAUGAUAGCAUUGGCGAAUGAAUGAGCCUGAAUGAAUACGAAAUCUGUAUGUAUGAAAGUCUAUGUUGGUAUAUAAACCAAAAUUAUUGUAAUUUAAAUUCCUAGACGUUUGCGAUACUUGUCAACAUGUUUUUGCAAUAAAAAUUUGGUUUUUACUAGA